GAAACUUAAAGGAAUUGGCGGGGGAGCACCACAAGGGGUGAAGCUUGUGGUUUAAUUGGAGUCAACGCCGGAAAUUUUACCGGGGGCGACAGCUGGAUGAAGGUCAGAUUGAAGGUCUUACUGGACUAGCUGAGAGGAGGUGCAUGGCCGUCGCCAGUUCGUGCCGUGAGGUGUCCUGUUAAGUCAGGCAACGAUCGAGACCCGCACCCUUAGUUGCCAUCGGCUAAGGCCGAGCACUCUAAGGGAACUGCCGCUGAUAAGGAGGAGGAAGGAGCGGGCCACGGCAGGUCA
rnacentral:rRNA from 1 species